rnacentral:rRNA from 1 species
UACGUAGGUCCCGAGCGUUGUCCGGAUUUAUUGGGCGUAAAGGGAGCGUAGGCGGACUUUUAAGUGAGAUGUGAAAUACUCGGGCUCAACUUGGGUGCUGCAUUUCAAACUGGAAGUCUAGAGUGCAGGAGAGGAGAAUGGAAUUCCUAGUGUAGCGGUGAAAUGCGUAGAGAUUAGGAAGAACACCAGUGGCGAAGGCGAUUCUCUGGACUGUAACUGACGCUGAGGCUCGAAAGCGUGGGGAGCAAACAGG